rnacentral:rRNA from 1 species
AGGUCUAACCUGCCCAAUGAGGAAUUAAAUGGCCGCAGUAUUUUGACUGUGCAAAGGUNGCAUAAUUAUUAGUUUUUUAAUUGAAAGCUUGUAUGAAGGGUUGGACGAGAUAAAAUCUGUCUUUAUUUAAAUUACAAUAGAAUUUAACUUUUAAGUCAAAAGGCUUAAAUGUAUAUAAAAGACGAGAAGACCCUAUAGAUCUUUAUUUAAUUAAUAUUUUGAUAAUUUAAGAUUAUUUUAGUUUAAAGUUUUAAUUAAAUUUUAUUGGGGUAAUAUAGAGAUUAAAUAAAUUCUUUUUAUUUAUUACAUUGAUUUAUGAAUAUAUGAUCCAAUAUUAUUGAUUAUAAGAUUAAGUUACCUUAGGGAUAACAGCGUAAUUUUUUUGGAGAGCUCAUAUCGAUAAAAAAGUUUGCGACCUCGAUGUUGGAUUAAAAAUUAGCUUGGGUGCAGAAGCUCAAGAUUUUGGUCUGUUCGACCAUUAAAUUUUUACAUGAUCUGAGUUCAGACCGGCGUAAGCCAGGUCGGUUUCUAUCUUUAUUUAUCUAAAAUAUUUUAGUACGAAAGGACCAAAUAUUUAAUAUAAUUAUAUUUCUUUUUUGAAUAAUAUU